rnacentral:rRNA from 1 species
UACGAAGGGUGCAAGCGUUACUCGGAAUUACUGGGCGUAAAGCGUGCGUAGGUGGUCGUUUAAGUCUGUUGUGAAAGCCCUGGGCUCAACCUGGGAACUGCAGUGGAAACUGGACGACUAGAGUGUGGUAGAGGGUAGCGGAAUUCCUGGUGGUAGCAGUGAAAUGCGUAGAGAUCGGGAGGAACAUCCAUGGCGAAGGCAGCUACCUGGACCAACACUGACACUGAGGCACGAAAGCGUGGGGGAGCAAAACA